rnacentral:rRNA from 1 species
UACGUAGGGGGCAAGCGUUGUCCGGAUUUAUUGGGCGUAAAGAGCGUGUAGGCGGUCAGAUAGGUCCGUUGUGAAAACUCGAGGCUCAACCUCGAGACGCCGAUGGAAACCAUCUGACUAGAGUCCGGAAGAGGAGAGUGGAAUUCCUGGUGUAGCGGUGGAAUGCGUAGAGAUCCGGAAGAACACCGGUGGCGAAGGCGGCCUGCUGGGCAGUUGCUGACACUGAGGCGCGACGAGCGUGGGGAGCAAACAGGAUUGAGAUACCCCGAGUAGAUCCA